UGAGUAACACGUGGGCAAUCUGCCCUGCACUUCGGGAUAAGCCUGGGAAACUGGGUCUAAUACCGGAUAGGACCUUUAGACGCAUGUCUUUUGGUGGAAAGCUUUUGCGGUGUGGGAUGGGCCCGCGGCCUAUCAGCUUGUUGGUGGGGUGAUGGCCUACCAAGGCGACGACGGGUAGCCGGCCUGAGAGGGUGUCCGGCCACACUGGGACUGAGAUACGGCCCAGACUCCUACGGGAGGCAGCAGUGGGGAAUAUUGCACAAUGGGCGCAAGCCUGAUGCAGCGACGCCGCGUGGGGGAUGACGGCCUUCGGGUUGUAAACCUCUUUCACCAUCGACGAAGGUUCGGGUUUUCUCGGAUUGACGGUAGGUGGAGAAGAAGCACCGGCCAACUACGUGCCAGCAGCCGCGGUAAUACGUAGGGUGCGAGCGUUGUCCGGAAUUACUGGGCGUAAAGAGCUCGUAGGUGGUUUGUCGCGUUGUUCGUGAAAUCUCACGGCUUAACUGUGAGCGUGCGGGCGAUACGGGCAGACUAGAGUACUGCAGGGGAGACUGGAAUUCCUGGUGUAGCGGUGGAAUGCGCAGAUAUCAGGAGGAACACCGGUGGCGAAGGCGGGUCUCUGGGCAGUAACUGACGCUGAGGAGCGAAAGCGUGGGGAGCGAACAGGAUUAGAUACCCUGGUAGUCCACGCCGUAAACGGUGGGUACUAGGUGUGGGUUUCCUUCCUUGGGAUCCGUGCCGUAGCUAACGCAUUAAGUACCCCCGCCUGGGGAGUACGGGCCGCAAGGCUAAAACUCAAAGGAAUUGACGGGGGGCCCGCACAA
rnacentral:rRNA from 1 species